CCUACGGGUGGCAGCAGUGGGGAAUAUUGGACAAUGGGCGAAAGCCUGAUCCAGCCAUGCCGCGUGUGUGAAGAAGGCCUUCGGGUUGUAAAGCACUUUCAGUGGGGAAGAAAGCCUUGGGGCUAAUACCCUCGAGGAAGGACAUCACCCACAGAAGAAGCACCGGCUAACUCCGUGCCAGCAGCCGCGGUAAUACGGAGGGUGCGGGCGUUAAUCGGAAUUACUGGGCGUAAAGCGCGCGUAGGCGGUCUGAUAAGCCGGUUGUGAAAGCCCCGGGCUCAACCUGGGAACGGCAUCCGGAACUGUCAGGCUAGGGUGCAGGAGAGGAAGGUAGAAUUCCCGGUGUAGCGGUGAAAUGCGUAGAGAUCGGGAGGAAUACCAGUGGCGAAGGCGGCCUUCUGGACUGACACUGACGCUGAGGUGCGAAAGCGUGGGUAGCAAACAGGAUUAGAUACCCGUGUAGU
rnacentral:rRNA from 1 species